rnacentral:rRNA from 1 species
ACGACGCUGGCGGCUGCCUAAUACAUGCAAGUUGAACGCAACAAAGACACCAGAGCUUGCUCUACCGUCUUUGUUGAGUAGCGAACGGGUGAGUAACGCGUGGGUAACCUGCCUUAUAGCGGGGGGAUAACUAUUGGAAACGAUAGCUAAUACCGCAUAACAAUAGAGAUUGCAUAAUCUUUAUUUGAAAGUGCCAACUGGUACACUAUGAGAUGGACCCGCGUUGUAUUAGCUAGUUGGUAGUGUAAUGGACUACCAAGGCGAUGAUACAUAGCCGACCUGAGAGGGUGAUCGGCCACAUUGGGACUGAGACACGGCCCAAACUCCUACGGGAGGCAGCAGUAGGGGAAUCUUCGGCAAUGGACGAAAGUCUGACCGAGCAACGCCGCGUGAGUGAAGAAGGUUUUCGGAUCGUAAAACUCUGUUGUUAGAGAAGAAUGUUGAUUAGAGUGGAAAAUUAAUCAAGUGACGGUAUCUAACCAGAAAGGGACGGCUAACUACGUG